rnacentral:tRNA from 1 species
GCAGUGAUCGUUCAGUGGUAGAAUUCUGGCCUUCCAUGCAGGAGACCUAGGUUCAAUUCCCAGUCAAUAUA